rnacentral:rRNA from 1 species
GGCGAACGGGUGAGUAACACGUGGGCAACCUGCCCCCGGCUCUGGGAUAACUCCAAGAAAUUGGGGCUAAUACCGGAUAUGACUGCUGACCGCAUGGUCUGGUGGUGGAAAGUUUUUCGGCUGGGGAUGGGCCCGCGGCCUAUCAGCUUGUUGGUGGGGUAGUGGCCUACCAAGGCGACGACGGGUAGCCGGCCUGAGAGGGUGACCGGCCACACUGGGACUGAGACACGGCCCAGACUCCUACGGGAGGCAGCAGUGGGGAAUAUUGCGCAAUGGGCGGAAGCCUGACGCAGCGACGCCGCGUGGGGGAUGACGGCCUUCGGGUUGUAAACCUCUUUCAGCUCCGACGAAGCGGAAGUGACGGUAGGAGCAGAAGAAGCACCGGCCAACUACGUGCCAGCAGCCGCGGUAAUACGUAGGGUGCAAGCGUUGUCCGGAAUUAUUGGGCGUAAAGAGCUCGUAGGCGGUUUGUCGCGUCGGCUGUGAAAACCUGAGGCUCAACCUCAGGCCUGCAGUCGAUACGGGCAGACUUGAGUGUUGCAGGGGAGACUGGAAUUCCUGGUGUAGCGGUGAAAUGCGCAGAUAUCAGGAGGAACACCGGUGGCGAAGGCGGGUCUCUGGGCAACAACUGACGCUGAGGA